rnacentral:rRNA from 1 species
UACGGGGGGGGUAAGCGUUGUCCGGAAUUACUGGGCGUAAAGAGCUCGUAGGUGGUUUGUCGCGUUGUCCGUGAAAACUCACAGCUCAACUGUGGGCGUGCGGGCGAUACGGGCAGACUGGAGUACUGCAGGGGAGACUGGAAUUCCUGGUGUAGCGGUGGAAUGCGCAGAUAUCAGGAGGAACACCGGUGGCGAAGGCGGGUCUCUGGGCAGUAACUGACGCUGAGGAGCGAAAGCGUGGGGAGCGAACAGG